ACUCAAAUGAAUAGACGGGGGCCCGCACAAGCAGCGGAGCAUGUGGUUUAAUUCGAAGCAACGCGAAGAACCUUACCAGGGCUUGACAUCCCUUGACGUGUAUUGAAAGAUACAUUCCCUUCGGGGCAAGGAGACAGGUGGUGCAUGGUUGUCGUCAGCUCGUGUCGUGAGAUGUUGGGUUAAGUCCCGCAACGAGCGCAACCCUUAUUGUUAGUUGCCAGCAAGUAAGAUGGGAACUCUAACGAGACUGCCGGGGAUAACUCGGAGGAAGGUGGGGACGACGUCAAAUCAUCAUGCCCCUUAUGUCCUGGGCUACACACGUGCUACAAUGGCCGGUACAGAGGGCAGCGAAACCGUGAGGUGGAGCGAAUCCCAAAAAGCCGGUCUCAGUUCGGAUUGUGGGCUGCAACCCGCCCACAUGAAGCCGGAGUUGCUAGUAAUCGCGAAUCAGCAUGUCGCGGUGAAUGCGUUCCCGGGCCUUGUACACACCGCCCGU
rnacentral:rRNA from 1 species